CUCGCCGACCACAGACAAUCUCUGCCCGUAUCGAUGUCUCUGUGUCCCUGCCGACACCAUCUGGGACAUGCCAUGAGAAAUCAUUUGGGUUAUUUCUCACGCCGUCUCAAUACAGGUGAACGUGUGGAAACAAGGGAUAAUGAAAAAGUAGGCUAACACGAGAGUUCGGUUAUAGCGCGAAUUGACUGCAAGCUGCUGGGUCGAACAGGGCAAAGGACUUGUGCUGUCGAAGUAAUGCAUCGGGCAACGGUGUAAUACAGUAGGCUAGUUAGUGCACCAUUGACAAUCACACCGAAAGUGUUUUAGUGAAUAUCCCAAUCACAGGUUUGUGAAAUACCAGGAUACGGGUUUAUCUGGCAGGGGACUCUGAGGUGCCGUCCACUCCUGACCUACAGGAUGCCAUCCUCCUGGUGCUGAUUUACACAGGAGAUCCAACCAGAAGAGGUUUUGAGGCCGCCACCCCCAAGACCUCACAGGACCCCGCCCCCUUCUCUACCUCCUUCCCCUCUCCACCUCUACCUGUCUCCUGAUGUAUAGAACCCAUUGCUGAACGGUUUGAUGGAGAGUUCUAACCAGUUUAAUGUCAGCAGGAACAGUUGUAAUAAG